rnacentral:lncRNA from 13 species
GUGGAGAGACUGGGCUCUGUUCUCUCUCUCUCUGUGGGCAGACUGCUUUGAUGCAAUGCCUGUCUUAUCUCUCGCCUGGCAAGGUUAAUGAAGUGGUGGCGUUUUCGGAAGGAAGUCGGAUUGGGAUGAGUAGCAAAGACCAGAGGAAGCUCCAAGAUGAAACGUACGACUCUGAGCGGCUCCCGUCCCCUACCAGUCUGCAGUCACACUGCCGCCAUGCGGAGAAUAGAGUCCUCAUAACAAUGGAAAAUGCCAAGACCCAAAGGGCACCUAGACCGCCAUCACAGACUGGAUCUCUUUAAUUACCCGGUGAGUGCAAAUAUUCUAUACCCUUUCACCAUCUUGAAUCUGUACAAAGCGCUUUGCAGUGUUCUGACGCCUACAAUAUGCAAAAGACCGAAACUAGUCUGCACAGAUAGUCUGACCAAAAUCAAUUUAAUUUGCCAAUUUUGACUUAUACCGGAAAACCAUGAGUGAGCCACCAUACUGUAGCCAUUACACAAUGCAAUUAUUAGCAUGUGAGAAAUCACUAAAGGUUAUCAUUCCUCUGAAGCUGAAGUGUCAGUCUCACAGAGGCGUUUCACACAGCGUGAGUCCAUAUCCACGCACACACUCACAAUGUGUUUAAGCGCUGUCUUCUUCAGGCCGUUCGUUACCACGUCUCUGUGUAUCUGAACAUGUUUCACAUCUUCCACCACAGGAACGAGAAUCCUUGGCAAUGGCUCGGAGGCGUACGCCUAUAAUUAGAAGGCAGCUCAAUUGGGUAGCAGGUAAUUUACCUUUAGGGGGAGACGACUAAUUAUUGUCUUUGAAAACCUAAUUUAGCGUCAAACACUUCAGGUGUCUUUUCCCCUCUCUUUAGCAAAGGGAAAGGUAUCCUGGAGCAGUCUUGGGGUUGGGGCGGAGGAUCCAUCCCCCGUGUGUCCUGUCUCUGGUGUUAUAAUGUUUACAUGGAUGAUUUCUAAAGAGAAACUAAGAGCCCGUGUCGCUGUGCAGAAACAGUGCAAAACGGAACAAAGCGUUUUUUGUUGUCCUCCUUUUGUCUGUCUCUGCAGGUUCUAGUGGAGGAAGGCGUCACUCUCUGCAGGUGUAUGGGGUUUCUUCUAGAGUGGAAGGCACCACUCUUAGGCCCUCUGUUAAAUGUUCCUAGCAGGUGAACCUGUUCCUGGCAGAUGGUGUUUGUGUGACUGACGCCCGUUCCCAGCAGAGGCAGGCCCAGGGAAACGAUCACAGAGCACAGUCUCUGCAGAGAAGCCCCAUCCAACCUGAUGGCAUAUGCUCUGCUGUGGCCUACACCUGCUGAAGGAUGGCGUUUACACCACCAUCCCUGGGCUCCACCGCCAAGUGGGGUGUUAAUCACAGCUCACUGCUCACUGCUCACUCUGCUCACACACACUUUUUAAAACCAGUAAAUAACUGAAUACACAACUACAGUGGCUCUGUCACUAUGGACAUAAUGUUAUCAUUUCCCCUGUAAGGCAUUGGAACCUCUUUUGUUAAGCUAUGUCUAUCGUAGCACAAUGUAGACUAAUGUGUGUAGUUUGAAACGGCAGAACAUUAAAACGAAUUGCACUCGAUUAUAAUGUGUCCUUUCCCAGACAUGAUGUAUCUAUUGGAUAGAGCAAACGUGACAAACUCAUCACAAAUGGACAGUUGAGAGUACAUGCCUGCGUUCUAUUUAAAUCUAUGACCUAUACAACCUCUUAGCAAACAAAACCAUGAAAAUGAUAUCAGGUUACUCCAAGCUCAACAGUCAAGCGGAGCCAUAUUCAAGCAAUUUUAUGGCUCAUCCAUACCAACUAUCACAGGUGUAUGAAAUGAUUUACUGGCUGAUGCUACUCAUCACUAGACCUAUAGAAAAUAUCACUUUAUGAGAGUGUUUUCCUAGGCCUUUUGACUAACCAGUGCUAACUGGAGUAGAGCGGUGUCCAGUGUCGUUGUUGGACUAGAUUGGAGGUCAGUAACAGGUCCACUGUUGAAAUAUGUAGACAGUUAAUAGCCUGGAACUGCCCCGUCCAACUGGAAACCAGUGAGCUGCUUACACUAAAACUGGGGAUUAGGACACAGUCGCCCAAGUCACUGCCAAUUCAGAUGGCACGGAGACCCUGGGCAAAGCAGUUUGAUCUGGCGAGCUGUCAUCGAUUCACACAGCUUCCAGCUGGAGCACCGGAACCCCAUUGAAACACGGAAUGGAACCCUCUCCAUCUUGGCACAUCUUGGCUGGCUCAAUCCCCCGCAGGCCAUUAGGGACAAAAUAUGUUUUGUUUUUCGAUUUUCUUUUUUUUCUCCUCCCGAAGAAAAAUACAGUCUGUCUUCAUGCUAUAACAGCCAUUACUUAAUUGUGCCGGAUUUUCCGAGCAGAGUGUUGCUUUAAUUAAGCAGCUAAUUGCAAUGUAGCUCUUGAUUAGCUUUGGGGGGAUGGGAAUGUUCAGACAGGCUGAUAUGUUGUGCACACUUCAGAAUCAUUUACAGAAAUUGAAGCUAAUUUCACUCUGUGUCUAUUGCUGCAUUAAUUUAAUUUGGGUUGCUUUUAGCUCAUUAACACUUCUAAUUAAUACGUUGACAUCACUAUUAAGAUGUCUCUUUGAAAUGGGCGUCUCCUGAUAGUCAGGAUGGAACAGGCUGACGGAUCGAGUGAGAAGCGGAC